UUCAGGGCAUGAAGAUCCUGGAACAGUAUCCCAAAAAAUCCUUUACAGAGCAGUGGGAAUUCUGAUCCUGGUAGAUCCAGGUGGAUCCCAGUGGAUCCCAUUGGAAUUCCGUGGUGUGGGGAAUGUGGGGAUGGGACUGGGGACAUUGAGGGAUGUGGGAAUGGGAAUAUUGGGGAAUUCAGGGCAUGAAGAGCCUGGAAUUGUAUCCAAAAAAUCCUUCCACUAGCCCUGGGAAUUCUGAUCCUGGUGGAUCCCUACGUGUAGGGAAUGUGGGGAUGGGAUUGGGAUCCUCAGGAAUGUGGGAAUUGGGAUGGGAUUGGGGACACUGAGGGAUGUGGGAAUGGGAAUAUUGGGGAAUUCAGGGCAUGAAGAUCCUGGAAUUGCAUCCCAAAAAAACCUUUAUUCAGUACCGGGAAUGGGAAUUCCAAUGGUGGCAGGUCCCAGUGGAUCCUGUUGGGAAUGUCAGGUGUGGGGAAUGUGGGGAUGGGAAUAAUGGGAAUUCAGGGCACAAAGAGCCUGGAAUUGUAUCCCAAAAAGUCCUUUACUAAGCCCUGAGAAUUCCAAUUGUGGCAGAUCCAGGUGGAUCCCAGUGGAUCCCAUUGGAAUUCCGUGGUGUGGGGAAUGUGGGGAUGGGACUGGGGACACCCAGGGGAUGUGGGAAUGGGAACAUUGGGGAAUUCAGGGCAUGAAGAUCCUGGAAUUGUAUCCCAAAAAGCCUUUAUUGAGCACGGGGAAUUAUGAAAGCAGCAGAUCCCGCUGGAUCCGGGUGGAUCCCCAUGGGAAGGGCAGCUGGAGAGGCACACGGUGCCGCUGGAGAAGAGCCAGGGAUCCAACGGGAUCCUGCUGGAUCCCAGGGGAUCCCAUUGGAUCAGGCGUGGAGACAUCGGGUGCCGAGGAGAAGAUCCAGGGCUGCUGGGGNCCUCUCAUCCGCAGGGAAAACCCUGGAAUUUCCCGCUGCUCCUGCCCCGUUCCUGUCCCACCUCCGGCCUUGCCUUUGGGAUCCUGGCCCGGAUCCCAUUCCAGACCCCAAUCCCAAUUCCCA
rnacentral:lncRNA from 1 species